rnacentral:rRNA from 1 species
UACAGAGGUCUCAAGCGUUGUUCGGAUUCAUUGGGCGUAAAGGGUGCGUAGGCGGCGCGGUAAGUCGGGUGUGAAAUCUUGGAGCUUAACUCCGAAACUGCAUUCGAUACUGCCGUGCUUGAGGACUGGAGAGGAGACUGGAAUUUACGGUGUAGCGGUGAAAUGCGUAGAUAUCGUAAGGAAGACCAGUGGCGAAGGCGGGGUCUCUGGACAGUUCCUGACGCUGAGGCACGAAGGCCAGGGGAGCAAACGGGG